CGUUUGGAAGCUGAUUAUGGGG
rnacentral:piRNA from 1 species